rnacentral:rRNA from 1 species
GUYUUUUUGAAUAAUUUAUUUAAAGUCUGGCCUGCCCAUUGAAAAAUUUUAAAAGGCUGCAGAAUUUUAACUGUACAAAGGUAGCAUAAUCAUUAGUUUUUUAAUUGAAAACUUGUAUGAAGGGUUAAACGAAAUAUAGGCUGUUUCAUAAAAAUAAUAAUAGAAUUUUACUUUUUAGUUAAAAGGCUAAAAUAAAAUUAAAAGACGAGAAGACCCUUUAGAAUUUUAUAUUUAAUUAUUUAUUAAUUUAUUAUAAUUUUUUUUUUAAUAUUUAAUUAAGUAUUUUGUUGGGGUGACAAUAAAAUUUAAAAAUCUUUUAUUAAAAUUUAAACAAAAAUUUUUGAUUUAUUGAUCCAUAAAUAAUGAUUAUAAGAUUAAAUUACCUAAGGGAUAACAGCGUAAUUUUUUUGGAGAGUUCUUAUUAAUAAAAAAUUUUGCGACCUCGAUGUUGGAUUAAGAUUAAUUUUUGGUGCAGAAGCUAAAAUUUAAGGUCUGUUCGACCUUUAAUUUCUU